GGGCGAAUGGUCUAGGGGUAUGAUAUUCGCUUUGCAUAUAAUCUGAUACAUCCAUCAGAUGCCGUGCCUGCGAAGGGUCCGGGGUUCAAAUCCCCGUUCGUCCA